UACGAAGGGGGCUAGCGUUGUUCGGAAUUACUGGGCGUAAAGCGCACGUAGGCGGGUUGUUAAGUCAGGGGUGAAAUCCUGGAGCUCAACUCCAGAACUGCCUUUGAUACUGGCAACCUAGAGACUGGAAGAGGUUAGCGGAAUUCCCAGUGUAGAGGUGAAAUUCGUAGAUAUUGGGAAGAACACCAGUGGCGAAGGCGGCUAACUGGUCCAGCACUGACGCUGAGGUGCGAAAGCGUGGGGAGCAAACAGG
rnacentral:rRNA from 1 species